AUCAUGGCUCAGGAUGAACGCUAGCUACAGGCUUAACACAUGCAAGUCGAGGGCAUCAGGAAGAAAGCUUGCUUUCUUUGCUGGCGACCGGCGCACGGGUGAGUAACACGUAUCCAACCUGCCCUUUACUCCGGGGGAUAGCCUUUCGAAAGAAAGAUUAAUACCCGAUAGUAUAAUGAUUCCGCAUGGUUUCAUUAUUAAAGGAUUACCGCUGGUAGAUAGGCAUGCGUUCCAUUAGAUAGUUGGUGAGGUAACGGCUCACCAAGUCGACGAUGGAUAGGGGUUCUGAGAGGAAGGUCCCCCACAUUGGUACUGAGACACGGACCAAACUCCUACGGGAGGCAGCAGUGAGGAAUAUUGGUCAAUGGGCGAGAGCCUGAACCAGCCAAGUCGCGUGAAGGAUGAAGGAUCUAUGGUUUGUAAACUUCUUUUAUACGGGAAUAAAGUGUGGUACGUGUACCAUUUUGUAUGUACCGUAUGAAUAAGCAUCGGCUAACUCCGUG
rnacentral:rRNA from 1 species